AAAGGGAAACGACCUCAAGCUUUGCUUGAGGAGCCGUGGCAGGUAUUGCAUGGCUGUCGUCAGCUCGUGUCGUGGGACGUUGGGUUAAGUCCCGUAACGAGCGCAACCCCUGCCCUUAAUUGCCAGCGGGUAAUGCCGGGGACUAUAAGGGGACUGCCGGAGAAUAUCCGGAGGAAGGAGGGGAUGACGUCAAGUCAUUAUGAUCCUUAUGCUCUGGGCGACACACGUGCUACAAUGGCCACUACAGUGAGGAGCCAAUCCGCAAGGACGAGCAAAUCUCAAAAAGGUGGCCUCAGUGCGGAUUGGGGUCUGCAACCCGACCCCAUGAAGAUGGAAUCGGUAGUAAUCGCGGGUCAGCCACACCGCGGUGAAUAUGUACUUGGGCCUUGUACACACCGCCCGUCACACCAACCGAGUAGGUGACACCCGAAGUCAACUCUGUUGCCCAAGGUGUUGCCUGCAAGGGGGGUGAAGUCGUAACAAGGUAACC
rnacentral:rRNA from 1 species